rnacentral:lncRNA from 1 species
UUUGCCGAAUCUCCUUUCUCCUCCGUCUUCUCUGUGUUGCCGAAUUCUUGCUCCCUCUCCACUAUAGAGUCUUCUAAAAUAUAGUAUUGGCGUUGGUUCUUCUCUGUUUUGGUGGUUGAAUGUUGAUAGGUGAGUUCUACGACACCUUUUGUCUAGUUCGGUCUGCGCUUUUCUAUCCAUUGAUUUUUUUUAUUUUUUUUCC